GGAAGUUGAUCUCCUGUGAUAUCCGCUGCCCUCUUGGUUGCCAAGAUUGGGCCAGCUGAUCUAACAGGAUGAAGGGUAUCUGAUUCUUUCCUCAUCCACCCAUAUGAGUCUCUUUGGUCAACUAAGCCAAGAAAAGAUUGGCCUAAUCAGCUCAAGCGCAACAUGCUUUGGUCAAGGCUGUUGGAAAGCUAGGCUGUCCUGGCAGAAAAGUGAAAGGAUUUCUCAGCAUUAACUCUCACUGAGUUUAUAUAAAAAGUUUAUAUAAAAACUGGUUUGGGGCUUGUCAUUU
rnacentral:snRNA from 1 species